rnacentral:rRNA from 1 species
CAGUCGCCACGGUAAUACGAAGGGGGCUAGCGUUGUUCGGAUUUACUGGGCGUAAAGGGCGCGUAGGCGGGCUGAUAAGUCUGAUGUGAAAUCUAUGGGCUCAACCCAUAGUCUGCAUAGGAAACUGUCGGGCUUGAGAGUGGGAGAGGUGAGUGGAAUUUCCGGUGUAGCGGUGAAAUGCGUAGAUAUCGGAAGGAACACCUGUGGCGAAAGCGGCUCACUGGACCAUUUCUGACGCUGAUGCACGAAAGCUAGGGGAGCAAACAGGAUUAGAUACCCCCGUAGUCCCUGUCUCUUAUAC